AGAGUUUGAUCCUGGCUCAGGACGAACGCUGGCGGCGCGCCUAACACAUGCAAGUCGAACGGAGAAUGCAGGACUGAAGCCUUCGGGCGGAUGGCUUGUAUUCUUAGUGGCGGACGGGUGAGUAACACGUGAGCAACCUGCCUUCAAGAGGGGGGAUAGCACCUGGAAACGGGUGGUAAUACCGCAUAAGACCACAGCAUCGCAUGGUGCAGAGGUCAAAGGAGCAAUCCGCUUGAAGAUGGGCUCGCGUCCGAUUAGAUAGUUGGUGAGGUAACGGCUCACCAAGUCGACGAUCGGUAGCCGGACUGAGAGGUUGAACGGCCACAUUGGGACUGAGACACGGCCCAGACUCCUACGGGAGGCAGCA
rnacentral:rRNA from 1 species